CCUUGUACACACCGCCCGUCAAGUCAUGGGAGUUGGGAGUACCCGAAGUCCGUUUAGCUGACCCGCAAGGGAGGCGGCGGCCGACGGUAAGCCCGAUGACUGGGACU
rnacentral:rRNA from 1 species